rnacentral:rRNA from 1 species
CUCAGGACGAACGCUGGCGGCGUGCCUAAUACAUGCAAGUAGAACGCUGAAGGAGGAGCUUGCUUCUCUGGAUGAGUUGCGAACGGGUGAGUAACGCGUAGGUAACCUGCCUGGUAGCGGGGGAUAACUAUUGGAAACGAUAGCUAAUACCGCAUAAGAGUAGAUGUUGCAUGUCAUUUGCUUAAAAGGUGCAAUUGCAUCACUACCAGAUGGACCUGCGUUGUAUUAGCUAGUUGGUGAGGUAACGGCUCACCAAGGCAACGAUACAUAGCCGGCCUGAGAGGGUGAUCGGCCACACUGGGACUGAGACACGGCCCAGACUCCUACGGGAGGCAGCAGUAGGGAAUCUUCGGCAAUGGACGGAAGUCUGACCGAGCAACGCCGCGUGAGUGAAGAAGGUUUUCGGAUCGUAAAGCUCUGUUGUAAGAGAAGAACGAGUGUGAGAGUGGAAAGUUCACACUGUGACGGUAUCUUACCAGAAAGGGACGGCUAACUACGUGCCAGCAGCCGCGGUAAUACGUAGGUCCCGAGCGUUGUCCGGAUUUAUUGGGCGUAAAGCGAGCGCAGGCGGUUAGAUAAGUCUGAAGUUAAAGGCUGUGGCUUAACCAUAGUACGCUUUGGAAACUGUUUAACUUGAGUGCAAGAGGGGAGAGUGGAAUUCCAUGUGUAGCGGUGAAAUGCGUAGAUAUAUGGAGGAACACCGGUGGCGAAAGCGGCUCUCUGGCUUGUAACUGACGCUGAGGCUCGAAAGCGUGGGGAGCAAACAGGAUUAGAUACCUGUAGU